GUAGAACGCUGAAGAGAGGAGCUUGCUCUUCUUGGAUGAGUUGCGAACGGGUGAGUAACGCGUAGGUAACCUGCCUUGUAGCGGGGGAUAACUAUUGGAAACGAUAGCUAAUACCGCAUAACAAUGGAUGACACAUGUCAUUUAUUUGAAAGGGGCAAUUGCUCCACUACAAGAUGGACCUGCGUUGUAUUAGCUAGUAGGUGAGGUAAUGGCUCACCUAGGCGACGAUACAUAGCCGACCUGAGAGGGUGAUCGGCCACACUGGGACUGAGACACGGCCCAGACUCCUACGGGAGGCAGCAGUAGGGAAUCUUCGGCAAUGGGGGCAACCCUGACCGAGCAACGCCGCGUGAGUGAAGAAGGUUUUCGGAUCGUAAAGCUCUGUUGUAAGUCAAGAACGGGUGUGAGAGUGGAAAGUUCACACUGUGACGGUAGCUUACCAGAAAGGGACGGCUAACUACGUGCCAGCAGCCGCGGUAAUACGUAGGUCCCGAGCGUUGUCCGGAUUUAUUGGGCGUAAAGCGAGCGCAGGCGGUUUGAUAAGUCUGAAGUUAAAGGCUGUGGCUCAACCAUAGUUCGCUUUGGAAACUGUCAAACUUGAGUGCAGAAGGGGAGAGUGGAAUUCCAUGUGUAGCGGUGAAAUGCGUAGAUAUAUGGAGGAACACCGGUGGCGAAAGCGGCUCUCUGGUCUGUAACUGACGCUGAGGCUCGAAAGCGUGGGGAGCGAACAGGAUUAGAUACCCUGGUAGUCCACGCCGUAAACGAUGAGUGCUAGGUGUUGGAUCCUUUCCGGGAUUCAGUGCCGCAGCUAACGCAUUAAGCACUCCGCCUGGGGAGUACGACCGCAAGGUUGAAACUCAAAGGAAUUGACGGGGGCCCGCACAAGCGGUGGAGCAUGUGGUUUAAUUCGAAGCAACGCGAAGAACCUUACCAGGUCUUGACAUCCCGAUGCUAUUUCUAGAGAUAGAAAGUUACUUCGGUACAUCGGUGACAGGUGGUGCAUGGUUGUCGUCAGCUCGUGUCGUGAGAUGUUGGGUUAAGUCCCGCAACGAGCGCAACCCCUAUUGUUAGUUGCCAUCAUUCAGUUGGGCACUCUAGCGAGACUGCCGGUAAUAAACCGGAGGAAGGUGGGGAUGACGUCAAAUCAUCAUGCCCCUUAUGACCUGGGCUACACACGUGCUACAAUGGUUGGUACAACGAGUUGCGAGUCGGUGACGGCGAGCUAAUCUCUUAAAGCCAAUCUCAGUUCGGAUUGUAGGCUGCAACUCGCCUACAUGAAGUCGGAAUCGCUAGUAAUCGCGGAUCAGCACGCCGCGGUGAAUACGUUCCCGGGCCUUGUACACACCGCCCGUCACACCACGAGAGUUUGUAACACCCGAAGUCGGUGAGGUAACCUUUUGGAGCCAGCCGC
rnacentral:rRNA from 1 species